UGGGGGGAGGUUGUGUCGUGGGUUUUAUUUUCUUCUUACUUUUGGGUUUUUUUUUGGUGGGGUUGGUUUGUUUUUCCGAGGGUCACCAUUCUGAAUUUGAGGCUUGCUCCCGCUUGCUCCUCUUUGGACCAAUGAAGGAACCAGACGCUAUCAAACUUUUCAUUGGACAGAUCCCCCGGAAUUUAGAGGAGAAAGACCUGAAGCCCAUCUUCGAACAGUUCGGCAAAAUCUACGAGUUGACCGUCAUUAAGGAUAAAUACACCGGCAUGCAUAAAGGAUGCGCCUUCCUGACCUACUGUGCCCGCGAAUCAGCCCUCAAGGCCCAGAGUGCUCUCCACGAACAGAAAACACUGCCAGGGAUGAACCGGCCAAUCCAGGUUAAACCAGCAGACAGUGAAAGCAGAGGAGAAGACAGGAAGCUGUUUGUGGGGAUGCUGGGUAAACAGCAGACGGACGAGGACGUUCGGAAGAUGUUCGAGCCGUUUGGGAACAUCGACGAAUGCACGGUUCUCCGAGGCCCCGACGGCACCAGCAAAGGCUGCGCCUUCGUGAAGUUCCAGACGCACGCCGAGGCGCAAGCUGCGAUCAACACGCUGCAUGGCAGCCGCACAUUGCCGGGUGCCUCCUCCAGCCUCGUGGUGAAAUUUGCCGACACGGAGAAGGAACGGGGGCUCCGGCGCAUGCAGCAGGUGGCCAACCAGCUGGGCAUGUUCAGCCCCAUCGCGCUGCAGUUUGGGGCCUACAGCGCCUACACCCAAGCGCUAAUGCAGCAACAGGCCGCUCUCGUGGCUGCACACUCUGCCUACCUCAACCCCAUGGCGACGAUGGCCGCAGUCCAGAUGCAGCAGAUGGCCACCAUCAGCCCCAGCGGCCUCAUUGCCACCCCGAUCACCCCCAUCACGCCCUCCUCAGGUACCAGCACGCCGCCUGCCAUUGCUGCCACGCCAGUGUCUGCCAUCCCGGCCACCCUCAGCGUCAACGGCUACAGCCCUGUCCCCACCCAGAGCACAGGGCAGCCGGCCUCGGAGGCCAUUUACACCAACGGCGUCCACCCUUACCCAGCACAGAGCCCGGCUGCCCCUGUGGACCCCUUGCAACAGGCCUACGCCGGGAUGCAGCAUUAUACAGCCGCCUACCCUGCCGCCUACGGUCUGGUGAGCCCAGCCUUCCCGCAACAGCCCGCCACCAUCAUCACCCAGCAGCCUCCUCCACAACAACCGCAGCAGCAGCAGCAGCAGCGGGAAGGUCCCGAGGGCUGUAACAUCUUCAUCUACCACCUGCCGCAGGAGUUCACGGACUCCGAGAUCUUGCAGAUGUUCCUCCCCUUCGGAAACGUCAUCUCUGCCAAAGUCUUCGUGGACCGCGCCACCAAUCAGAGCAAAUGUUUCGGAUUCGUAAGUUUCGACAAUCCAGCCAGCGCUCAGGCUGCCAUCCAGGCCAUGAACGGCUUCCAGAUCGGGAUGAAACGUCUCAAGGUGCAGCUCAAGAGGCCCAAAGACGCCAACCGGCCGUACUGAAUCACCACCACCCCAAUCAGGGCUCCCGUCCUCUCUUGAGACGACUCUGUGGCUAAGCCACCCUUCGCUGUCGCGGGAGACCUAGCUCCGUUGCCCCCCUUGUCCACCACUCCGUGGAGGAGCAAAGACCCCCCCCCCCCGAUUCUCUUGCCCUUCCUUCUUUCCUUUUCCUCCCUCCCG